UACGAAGGGUGCAAGCGUUACUCGGAAUUACUGGGCGUAAAGCGUGCGUAGGUGGUUUGUUAAGUCUGAUGUGAAAGCCCUGGGCUCAACCUGGGAAUUGCAUUGGAUACUGGCAGGCUAGAGUGCGGUAGAGGAUGGCGGAAUUCCCGGUGUAGCAGUGAAAUGCGUAGAUAUCGGAAGGAACACCAGUGGCGAAAGCGGCUUCCUGGUCCAGCACCGACGUUCAGGCACGAAAGCGUGGGGAGCAAACAGGAUUAGAACCUACGGUAGU
rnacentral:rRNA from 1 species